rnacentral:misc_RNA from 1 species
GAUGAGAACGCAGCGAAAUGCGAUAAGUAAUGUGAAUUGCAGAAUUCAGUGAAUCAUCGAAUCUUUGAACGCACAUUGCGCCCCCUGGUAUUCCGGGGGGCAUGCCUGUCCGAGCGUCAUUACAACCCUCAAGCUCAGCUUGGUGUUGGGCCCCGCCGCCCCGGCGGGCCCUAAAGUCAGUGGCGGUGCCGUCCGGCUCCGAGCGUAGUAAUUCUUCUCGCUCUGGAGGUCCGGUCGUGUGCUCGCCAGCAACCCCCAAUUUUUUUCAGGUUGACCUCGGAUCAGGUAGGGAUACCCGCUGAACUUAAGCAUAUCAAUAAGCGGAGA